rnacentral:rRNA from 1 species
AGAGUUUGAUCCUGGCUCAGGAUGAACGCUGACAGAAUGCUUAACACAUGCAAGUCGAUGGGGAAGUGGUGCUUGCACCAUGGUAACCAUGGCGGACGGGUGAGUAACGCGUAAGGGACUUGCCCGCGGGACCGGGAUAACAGCAGGAAACUGCUGACAAGACCGGAUAAGGUCAUGGAGCCGCAUGGUUACAUGAUGAAAGGAGACGCCUGCGGAGAGCCUUGCGUCCUAUUAGCUAGUUGGAGGGGUAACGGCCCACCAAGGCGAAGAUAGGUAGCCGGCCUGAGAGGGUGGACGGCCACAAGGGGACUGAGAUACGGCCCUUACUCCUACGGGAGGCAGCAGUGGGGAAUAUUGGACAAUGGGGGCAACCCUGAUCCAGCAAUUCUGUGUGCACGAAGACGGUUUUCGGAUUGUAAAGUGCUUUCAGCAGGGAAGAAGUAAGUGACGGUACCUGCAGAAGAAGCGACGGCUAAAUACGUGCCAGCAGCCGCGGUAAUACGUAUGUCGCGAGCGUUAUCCGGAAUUAUUGGGCAUAAAGGGCAUCUAGGCGGCCUGACAAGUCAGGGGUGAAAACCUGCGGCUCAACCGCAGGCCUGCCUUUGAAACUGACAGGCUGGAGUACCGGAGAGGUGGACGGAACUGCACGAGUAGAGGUGAAAUUCGUAGAUAUGUGCAGGAAUGCCGAUGAUGAAGAUAGUUCACUGGACGGUAACUGACGCUGAAGUGCGAAAGCCGGGGGAGCGAACAGGAUUAGAUACCCUGGUAGUCCCGGCCGUAAACGAUGAUUACUGGGUGUGGGCAGGAAGACUGUCUGUGCCGAAGCAAAUGCGAUAAGUAAUCCGCCUGGGGAGUACGGCCGCAAGGCUGAAACUCAAAGGAAUUGACGGGGACCCGCACAAGCGGUGGAGCAUGU